AAUCCCACUGUACUAGUGUUCUAUAGUAGACAUUAACAUCUUGGAAUGAACUAAAAUGUAUCUUUUUCUUGGGACUACUUAGGAAAUUUGGUAUUCUUUCUGAGACGAGACCUACUAGCUGGGCAUCUACUUCCGCCCGGAUUGGUUUUUUUAAAAAAUAUCUUCGAUCCCGAGUGCGCCUCCUUGUGGUUAGGAGGUGGCAAAACAGAGGGUUGAGGGUUUUUUUGGUUUGGGCUUUGUUUUUUUUGUUUUUUGUUUUUUUUUGAGACGAGGUUUCUCUGUGUAGCCUUAGCUGUUUUGUACUCGCUUGUAAACUCGCUCGUACUCACGGAGCUCCGCCUGCCUCUGCCUCCCGGAGUGCUGGGAUUGCAGGCGUGCGCCAUUGCACGCCAUUUAAAAGACAGGGUUUCUGUGUGUAGUCCUACAAAACUCAUUCCGUAGACCAGGCUGGCGUCAAACUCUGGGAUAUGCCUGUCUUUGCCUCCCAGAAUUAAAGGCUACGUGAAGUCCAGUGGCGUGUGGAAAAUGGAAGGUGGAGCUAAUGGCAGCUUACAGACCACGUUUUACAAAGGGGAAGUUAAAUUCCUGGAAAAGGAAAAGACACAGGGAAGGUUGCCUUUGCAGCGAGACCAGGCCCAGGGCUCCUUCUCGGCAGAGAACUUGAGCCUCGACCACAUUCUGCAGUGUGGACAGCAUUAUACACCUGGUGAGGACGGCGAGGACCCAGAGGUCUAGAGACCAAGGUCCCACAAUGAUGAGAGACUGUGCAGGCCUCAGGAACUGCUUCUUAAACCCACGCUUAGACAUGUGCUGUCCUGGCUCAGGAGCAGUCAUUCUCAACCUUCCCAAUGCUGUGACCCUUUAAUACAGUUCUUCAUGUUGUGGGGACCCCAACCAUAAAAUUCCAUUGCUACUGCGUAACUGUAAUUUUGCUACUGUUAUGAAUUGUGAUGUGAACAGUUGUAUUUUCCAAUGGGCUUAGGCAACCCCUGUGAAAGUCAUUUGACACCCGCCCCCAAAAGGGUCACAGGUUGAGCAACUGUUGCUUUAGAGGGCUUGCUUCUCCCCACCUCCCCCCCCCCCCCGACUUCAGCCAGUCUUUUUGGUGCUGGGGAUAGAACCCAGGACCUCACAAUGCUCUAGGUUAGUGCCCAGCUGCUAAGCUACACCCCGGCCCCAUCUGAAAGUAUUCGGAUAUCAUGUCUGGAAUCUAGCAUCUGUAGCCAGCCUCACUUCAGCUUCAGAUGUGAGACUAUGUCAGUGUCCUCUCCUAUAAGUGGUAUGUCUGGAGCAGCUCGGGCUUUUGGUGACAAUGUAGAUGAGUUCACUCAUGGGGGCCCCCAGAGCAAUUGUGCCUGGCACUCCCUGAGCACUCUUCUGCUGCCCUUUAGGCCUUGGUCAUAGAGCCCCACCACAGUGCUAGGAUCUUGUCCAGUGUGCACAGGCCCCAGAGCUGGGGGGAGGAGAGGCCAGCCCUCCCAUCCUCACCCUCUACCCUCCCUGCAGACACACAGAACCACA